rnacentral:rRNA from 1 species
AUUGACGCUGGCGGCAGGCCUAACACAUGCAAGUCGAACGAGUGGCGGACGGGUGAGUAAUGUCUGGGAAACUGCCUGAUGGAGGGGGACAACAGUUGGAAACGACUGCUAAUAGCUGUCACUGAAGGAGGGGAUUGCGUCUGAUUAGCUAGUAGGUGGGGUAAAGGCUCACCUAGGCGACGAUCCCUAGCUGGUCUGAGAGGAUGACCAGCCACACUGGAACUGAGACACGGUCCAGACUCCUACGGGAGGCAGCAGUGGGGAAUAUUGCACAAUGGGCGCAAGCCUGAUGCAGCCAUGCCGCGUGUAUGAAGAAGGCCUUCGGGUUGUAAAGUACUUUCAGCGGGGAGGCGUUACCCGCAGAAGAAGCACCGGCUAACUCCGUGCCAGCCGCCGCGGUAAUAC